CUGAUGGAGGAGUCGUGCUGAAGGCCCUGACUUGUGGAGGUGCUGGUGGAAGCCCUGCCUGGUGAAGGACGUCUGUCGUGGGAACAGGACUCUGUCUGAGGAGAGCUGCUGGAGGAGCUGAGACGCUGGAGGACGACUAGGAAUCGACCAACAAGGAUUCCUCAACGUGUUUCUGGAGCGGAGGCGAGCUGGUAGGGGAGCCGUGAAUAUGGAGGAUGACCAUCACUCUACCAACAAGUUUGUAUUAACCUAACAACAAAGUGGAAAUAAAGGGCUUAAAAAUAAGACCAACUACAUGUUUGUUACCAGACUUUAGGGCCAGACUCGCGCUGUUUGUCCCAGACCAGGACUCUGGCUGAGGAGAGCUGAUGGAGGAGCCAAGACUCUGGAGGACGACAUCACUCUACCAACAAGGAUCCUCAGACAAAUUACAUUUGUAAACAGACCAGGAAUCUGGAGGACUGAUGGAGAUGCCGUACAUCUGGAAGGCAAAUCCUGAGGACCACCAGGACUCUACCAUCAAAGAUUCCUCACACACCUGAGCUGAACCUCACCUGAUCCUGUUUGGUCGGGGGUAGACACACCUGAGCUAAACCCGCCCUGAUCCUGACAUCCUGCUGGUCCCAUCUCCUCAGUUCAUCUGAGCCUCGUCCUCCAGAAGACCUGCUGAGCUCAGCAGUCUGAGGCUGAUGGAUCAAUGACCUCCAGUGGGAGUGAUUUUCUUGACCCCACAUGUAACCGUGUGCUUCCACACGCCUUUCCCUCACGUCUGUCACUAACCUCACUACUUCACUACUCUCUACUGCUUCCUCUUUUCUUCCUUCUCUGUGGUUCAAACCAUUACACUAAAGGCGCGUCUUCCUGCCCUCAGAGGGGUUAGGGUUGAGAGUCAGGGUUUAGAGUCAGGGACAGAGCUGGUCAGGGAGGACUGCUUUUACACAAACCUCUUCACUUGCUUUCGGAAUUGUGGUGACAUUUUGAAAAGAUUCAUUUGGGAAAAUGUUUUCCUCUGCUUUCCUUUACAAAAUUGUAUUAAACUUCUGUCAAGUGUUUUUGUUUAUACAUUAAAAUCCCACAUUGACUUCUA